UACGUAGGCAGCGAGCGUUGUUCGGAAUUACUGGGCGUAAAGCGUGCGUAGGCGGUGUUCCCAGUCUGUUGUGAAAUCUCCCGGCUUAACUGGGAGGGUGCAGCGGAAACUAGAAUGCUAGAGGGUGGGAGAGGUAAGCGGAAUUCCUGGUGUAGCGGUGAAAUGCGUAGAUAUCAGGAGGAACACCUGUGGUGUAGACGGCUCUCUGGACCGCAACUGACGCUGAGACACGAAAGCGUGGGUAGCAAACAGG
rnacentral:rRNA from 1 species